GAGGAAGUAAAAGUCGUAACAAGGUUUCCGUAGGUGAACCUGCGGAAGGAUCAUUAGCGAAGCGAAAGCCCUGCCGGGUUGUGCUGGCGCUCACCGCGCACGUGCACGCCCCAAGGGCCGUCCGUCCUUCACACCCGUGCACAUGUCCGGCUGGAUCUGGCACGCCUCGUGCGUGUUGGCCCGCCGUCUUUUCACCGCUGCCAUGUAGAGUGUCGAAAGCGUCUGCGCUUGCGCAACCUAAUACAACUUUUAACAACGGAUCUCUUGGUUCUCGCAUCGAUGAAGAACGCAGCGAAAUGCGAUAAGUAAUGUGAAUUGCAGAAUUCAGUGAAUCAUCGAAUCUUUGAACGCACCUUGCGCUCCUUGGUAUUCCGAGGAGCAUGCCCGUUUGAGUGUCUCGAUAUCAUCGGAAGCCCGUGCCCCCUGUGGUGCGGUGCUCCUGGACUUGGACGUGCUGCUGGGCGCUGGCCUGGCUCGUCUGAAAUGCAUUAGCGAGAGAUGUGGCGCCUCCCCGGCUCUCAUUGGCGUGAUAAGGUCACCCGUCGAGAGUAUCCCGGUGGUGAGCCCACAAUCCUCCUUGCUCCCAACCGUCCGUGAGGACAACGACGGCCUGCCGUCUGACGUCUGACCUCAAAUCGGGUAGGACUACCCGCUGAACUUAAGCAUAUCAUA
rnacentral:rRNA from 1 species